rnacentral:lncRNA from 1 species
UGUAGACGAAGUACGGGUUGGAAUAUUUGGCCUAGCAUGCUCUAACUCCUGUUUAUAAGCAUUAUAAAUAGUUUGAGCAUUAACUUUAAUUGAUGUUUUCGCAUCAGCUAGUGUAGUAAUUUCUACUUCUGAAAGAUCUAAAGAUUGAUAAAUAGUAGAAUACCAAAAGUUAGGACCUCCUAAUUUCAUAGUUGGAUUUAACAUANN